rnacentral:rRNA from 1 species
GACGAACGCUGGCGGCGUGCUUAACACAUGCAAGUCGAACGGAAAGGCCCUGCUUGCAGGGUACUCGAGUGGCGAACGGGUGAGUAACACGUGGGUGAUCUGUCCUGCACUUCGGGAUAAGCCUGGGAAACUGGGUCUAAUACCGGAUAGGAGCCAUUUUUAGUGUGAUGGUUGGAAAGUUUUUUCGGUGUAGGAUGAGCUCGCGGCCUAUCAGCUUGCUGGUGGGGUAAUGGCCUACCAAGGCGGCGACGGGUAGCCGGCCUGAGAGGGUGGAUGGCCACAUUGGGACUGAGAUACGGCCCAGACUCCUACGGGAGGCAGCAGUGGGGAAUAUUGCACAAUGGGCGCAAGCCUGAUGCAGCGACGCCGCGUGGGGGAUGACGGCCUUCGGGUUGUAAACUCCUUUCGCUAGGGACGAAGCUUUUUGUGACGGUACCUAGAUAAGAAGCACCGGCUAACUACGUG